GCCAGACUCCUACGGGAGGCAGCAGUGAGGAAUAUUGGUCAAUGGGCGGAAGCCUGAACCAGCCAAGUCGCGCGAGGGAAGAAGGCCCUGCGGGUCGCAGACCUCUUUGGACGGGGAGCAAGGCCGCCGACGUGUCGGCGGAAGGAGAGUACCCGUAGAACAAGCAUCGGCUAACUCCGUGCCAGCAGCCGCGGUAAUACGGAGGAUGCGAGCGUUAUCCGGAUUUAUUGGGUUUAAAGGGUGCGUAGGCGGACUUUUAGGGGAGGGUAAAAGGCCGGGGCCCCACCCCCGGCGAGCCGUUGAAACUGGCUGUCUUGAGAUGUCGAGAGGUAUGCGGAAUGCGCAGUGUAGCGGUGAAAUGCUUAGAUAUUGCGCAGAACUCCGAUUGCGAAGGCAGCAUACCGGCGGCGAUCUGACGCUGAGGCACGAAAGCGUGGGUAUCGAACAGGAUUAGAUAC
rnacentral:rRNA from 1 species